UGGAGACUUCGGAGACUGCAGUUGCUGGUGUUUCUGGUGAGAGAGCUUCCAGAUGAGGUUAACCCUUGGACAGACUGAGAGAAGCAGGUUGUCCUUCCUAGUGAGGGUGGCCUCAUCCAAUCAGUGGAAGACCUGGACAGGACAGAACUGCCAAGUAAGACGAACCUUCCCGGCGUGCGGAGUUGAGACCACCAUCGCUGCCUUGGACUCAAAGUGAAAAGGCAGCCGUUCCCAGCUCUCCAGGCUGCCAGCUUGCAGACGAGCUUCCACCACCGAGCUGUCCCGGGUCUCCAGCGUGCCACCCACAGAUCCUGGGACCUCCCCAAUCCUUUCUAAGAACAAACGGAAUUGGCUAUGGAUAAUUCAUAUCAUCUCAACCAACGAAACUCAUAUAAUGGACUUCCCUCUGAGAAGAAAAACAACUUCCUUGUGUCUGAAGAUCAUGGACAGAAAAUCCUAACUGUACUACAGAAUUUUAGAGAACAAAAUGUCUUCUAUGAUUUCAAAAUAAUCAUGAAAGAUGAAACGAUCCCAUGUCAUCGUUGUGUCUUGGCAGCAUGCAGUGACUUCUUCAGGGCCAUGUUUGAAGUGAACAUGAAAGAGCGAGACGGUGGGAGUGUCACCAUCACUAACCUGUCCUCCAAAGCAGUAAGAGCGUUUCUGGAUUACGCCUACACUGGGAAAACCAAGAUAACGGACGACAACGUGGAAAUGUUCUUCCAGUUGUCAUCGUUUCUUCAAGUUUCCUUCCUGUCCAAAGCUUGCAGCGACUUCUUAAUAAAAAGCAUUAACCUCGUCAAUUGUUUACAGUUGUUAUCUCUCUCGGACAGCUACGGCUCCCCCCGCCUGUUUGACCACGCGCUCUACUUUGUGCAGCACCACUUUUCCUUACUAUUUAAAUCCAGUGACUUCCUGGAGAUGAACUUUGGAGUGCUGCAGAAAUGUCUGGAAUCCGACGAACUAAAUGUCCCUGAAGAGGAGACUGUACUGAAAGUUGUCCUUAGCUGGACCAAACAUAACCUCGAAUCAAGGCAAAAGCAUCUGCCUUAUUUGAUUAAAAAAGUAAGAUUACAUCAGUUAUCCGAGGAGACCCUUCAAAACUGUCUGCUCAGCGAAGAGUGCUUACUCAAAAGCACAAACUGUUUUGACAUAAUCAUGGAUGCUGUUAAGUGUGUGCAGGGUUCUGGUGGGCUCUUCCCUGAUGCUCGGCCGUCCACAACCGAAAAAUACAUAUUUGUUCACAAAACAGACGAAAACGGUGGAGACCAAUACACCUUUUGCUACAAUAUAAACAGUGACUCAUGGAAAGUGCUGCCGCAGUCUCACCUGAUUGACUUGCCAGGGUCCAGUCUGUCCAGUUACGGGGAGAAGAUAUUCCUGACGGGCGGGUGCAAAGGGCCAUGCUGCAGAACGGUCCGGCUUCACAUUGCGGAGUCCUACCACGAUGCGACCGACCAAACCUGGUGCUACUGUCCGGUGAAAAAUGAAUUCUUCCUGGUAUCAGCCAUGAAGACACCAAGAACCAUGCACACGUCAGUUCUGGCUCUCAACAGAUUAUUUGUCAUAGGUGGAAAGACAAAGGGCUCUCAGGACAUUAAAAGCCUCUUAGAUGUUGAGUCUUACGACCCUCUUUCUAAAGAGUGGAUGUCUGUCAGCCCGUUACCCAGGGGCAUAUACUAUCCUGAAGCGAGCGCGUGCCAAAAUGUCAUUUAUGUUCUUGGGUCAGAGGUCGAGAUUACGGACGCCUUCAACCCAUCACUUGAUUGCUUCUUCAAGUACAACGUGACCACUGACCAGUGGUCGGAACUAGUAGCAGAGUUUGGGCAGUUUUUUCAUGCAACACUAAUUAAAGCUGUCCCCGUCAACUGCACGCUGUACAUAUGUGACCUCUCCACCUAUAAGGUUUAUAGUUUUUGUCCAGAUACCUGUGUCUGGAAGGGUGAAGGCUCUUUUGAGUGUGCAGGCUUUAAUGCAGGUGCAGUUGGAAUUGAAGACAAAAUUUACAUCUUAGGCGGUGACUACGCACCGGAUGAAAUCACGGACGAAGUGCAAGUCUACCACAGCAGCAGGUCUGAGUGGGAGGAAGUCUCGCCCAUGCCCAGAGCCUUAACAGAAUUUUACUGCCAGGUAAUUCAGUUUAAUAAAUACAGAGACCCGUGGUUUUCUAACCAUUUCUGAAAGGAGUAUGUGGCUAGACAUCCUGAAACUAUCCCAGUUCUAGAAGCCUGCUGUGUAUCUGUUAACCUUAAAUAGCUGGUAAAAAGGCCUUUACCUCUUAGUAAAAUAAAAUGUUACCUUCUGUUAGAGAAUUACUACGAACGUACAGCAUAUAUGACCUAGCAGUUGCUGGAAACUUAAAAUACAAAAUUCAUUUACCAAAAAUUAUAUCAGAUAUAAUUUAAUCCUGGAGAAUCCGGAAUACUUAGUAUUUUCAUAUGUAAAUAAGACUCCUAGGUAUGGAUGGCUUGAUUUUUAGAGUAAUUUAUCUGUGAAAGACUGGGAAGAACAAAUCAAUGUUCGCAGGUUUGUACUAUUUAGAGGGGGGAGAUCUCUGUAGGUGGUGAUAGUGAAUUAUUUGCAAACUAUAUUAUAUGAAGUAAAAUUAGAAAGAGGUGAGAACCUACCUUGUUACUGCAGGUGUAAGAGAGGCUGCGUCCCCAUCCUUCCUGGUCACUGCUUAGCUUCUUUUAGUCCCUUCUUCCCGUUUUCACCAUCAUUUUUUUGGUCAGAAAUUUUCCCAAAAUGCAGUGUAUUUUCCAGCCUUCUAAACUGUGCACUGAACACGGCUUGACUUUUUUUUUUAUGAUUCAACUCUUCAUUAGGAGCAUAAUGUACCAUGUUAUAACGCCAUAAUGCCAUCAGCAAUUACCGGAAUGCUUUUAAAAUUGCUGGUUCUGGUAGUGCUCAGUGCUAGUUGGUCCCGAUUUCUGGCAGGGGCCUCUCUUAUUCUCUGGUUCGAGCUCAGUGAAUGAACACUCUCGAUUUAAUUGUUAGUUAUAAGUUACACCUGCUCUGAGUCUAUCUGUACAUGUAUCCCACUGAGUGAAGUUUUUGGAUUCUAGGAUGGUAGUCGUAACAUACUUUUCCUGUAUCCUUGCCAUAUUCCAGCAUAACCGAGAAAGGAGAAACUAAAGGGAAACAGAAUCCUUUCCUCGUCUUGUUUCAUUAUUGUGUCAUCCUGAUGUCCGCCAAUCUUCGCAUUGGCCAUUGAUUGAUUUAUCAUAAUGUUCCUAGACAUAUCCUUGUUAUCAGGCCCAGGGAGCUCCGUCUGCAUUUGAUUUAAUAUACUUCCUAACACACAUGGCUUUCUGCCUUUUUUCUGCAAUUGCUGCACUUCACUGGUUAGUCGUUUUCUUCUCACUGCCAUCCCUUUGUAUCUGCAACUGAGUGCUCUUCUUCAGUUCUCCCGCAGGAGAAAGUACCCUGUCUAGUUAUAAAACCCCAGACUCUUCCUUUAUUUACUGUUCUUUAUCUGCUGGGCGUGGCUCCACUAAUAACUGAUCUUGUUCACUCUAAUUCUGCAUCUUCUGUAGAGAGAGCGCUUCAAUUUCAUCUCUCUGCUGUACUGAAAAAUGGUUUUCUGUGUUCCAAAUCCUCAAGGAACCCAACCAUAGGCACGACACACAUGGUCAAUGACCGAACUGGUCACACCUUCCUGACCCCACCAAUCCCUGGAUUCACUGUCCAGGAGCCAGGUCUGUCAUUCUGGCCUCACCCUCCGUUCCGGAUCUCUGACAGGCACGUCUCAGUGAUCUCUCAGGUUCAUUCUCGGUCCCCCCAGAAAGAGCUGUUUUUCCUGUCUGCAAGCCUAGGUCAGAGGAAAUGACAUCCUUGUAUCUAUGGCCUCUUCCCUGGGUCUUUAUUUUUUUUUCUUUAAAGCCCACUUUCCCUUCAUUAUCAUCCUUCAGCCAAUGUUGCAUUGUAAGAGACAAAAUAAUUGUGCUCAUUAUCCACAUUGCUUUCAUUCUUGUGGAAAAAUUCCGUUAAACAUUUCUAAAUCCUUUAUCAUUUGUUUUGCUCCACUACACUUGGAUUAUGCUUGCAAAAAAAAUCUAAUAUUGUAACAUCUUCUACAGUUGAAAGUAAGUAUAUGCCAUUAUUAUAUGGAAAAAUGAUUAAAUUCAGCAUUUAUAUGAGAGCAAUUCAAAGUCAAUGGAAACUCAUGGAGUGAUCUGCAAACUUGUUUUAAAACAUGGACCACCUUUCGUUCACCUAUUGCCCGUGAGGCUGAGCAGUAAGAAGAAUAUGGCGUAAUCAAAAUUAAGUACAAUCCCAUAACAGCUCUGGUUCUGAGUGGGAAAGAGGACUUUAUCACAGCCGCAUUCGCUACAUGCUACCCUUGAAAGUUACAAAGUUAGUUGAGAGUGACCACAUCCUGCAACACGACUCUGUUUUUCCCAGCUACCAACAGCAACUGAGGAUGUGUGCAGUGUACCUAACUCAAGCUGUAUGGUUUAAAAAUCAGAGUCAAGUAGAGAGAGAAGCAUCUGUUUACUUUGUGAGAUUUGGAAGCAAUAAAUGCAAUGAUUAAGUAUAUUGUUGAACAUGCAGUGUUACUUUUAGGUCCUCAUUUUCAGUUUAAUUGGGGUCCAAUAUUUGGAAACUCUUUUAUAUUUCGAAUUGAAACUAAGACUAUCUUCCAAUGGGCAGCUCUGGAGGGCACUGAAAAUAAAAAGGCUCGAAUUUGUUAUAGGCAAGCAGAUUUCCAUUCAGUGUAAGAAACAACUUUCCUCCACAGAGCCGUAUUUAGAGUGAGGUGGUGGAAUGUGGCCUGUGGCACAUGGUCAGCCCGAGAAACGCCUAUGCAGGAGCGCACAACCAAAGAUUCCUAUACCCCGCACAUUUUGAUCUCAGCAGUUUUCUGGCCGAGGACCAGCGACUUCCUCCUCCAAUUUAUUUAGCAUUUGGGCAUUCUAGGUAACUUGAUUUCGAUGGUUCUGCAUACUCAAGGUUUCUACAGGACUUGAGUCUUAAAACUCCAUCAUUUCAAGAGCAUUCUUACUGGAGGGAAUUUGCUCUCUGUUCCCUUGUUUUAAUUAUUCAGGAAAAAGUCUGUAAGCGGUGCUGACAUUUACAGUGCACUGGUAAUAGGAUUUUUCCUUCCGUCCACCACAGGUGCACAUUUGUUUCACAGAGAAUAGAAACUGAAAGACCAGUACCUAAAAUUUUCUCCCAAAUUCAUGCUUUAUUUUGCUGCAAAUGUUGCUAUAUUGUUAAAUAUUGUGAGUCUAAUGAUUAUGUGAUUAAAAAUUUUUUUAUAUCUUAAAAACUCAGAUGUGUUUAGAAGUCAAUUCUAUGUGACGGCACUAUGACAGUUGGUCACAUUUAAUAUCUGAAUACAUAUUCGGGGUAUUCAGCUCGCAGGAUGAUACUCUUACAAGACUUAGCAAAAGGUAACUCUUCUAACUCCUACACCCUAUUCAAAUUGGAAAGUAACCUUGGAAUCUGAUCUGAUACAGCUUCUGGCCUAGGAGAGAAGUCCCUCUCAAUUCUAAAGCACCCUAAUGACUUUUUUUUUUUUUUCAGUUUCUAGUUGAGUUCUUUGAGGAGGAAAGAGCUCAAUGCCUUCACGUUUGAAAAGUUCUGAUACAAAGUUCUCUUUGAUAUUCAAAGUGCUGUUGCCUCCUGGUACUAACUUCCAGCCCUUGCUCCCAGAGAGCUGUCUCCACAAGUACUUCAAAUAGUGGCGGGUCCCCCCUGCCUCUAGAAUCGAGGCCUCAUUUUCCUUCUUGUUCAGAUGCUUCUUAACAGCUGAAAACCGGCCACAGUAGCCGGGUUACAAGCCUUUUCGUUGUUGUUGCCUCAGAAAAUCGCUUGCAGCUCUCUUGCCUUGUUGGUGGGUUGAGCCUGACCAGCACUGCCGAAUCUCUCACUAAUUCUGGCAUUAUUUAUUACCUCAACCAGCUCUCCAGUUCUUAUACAUCUAAACAGGAGCUAGAGCCUUGCUGGGUCUCUCCGCCCCCCCCGCCUUACCCCAUCAACAUAAUCACAAACACAGAUUUUCUGGGAGAGGAAUUCUAAAGCCAAAUUUUAAUAAGUCUUUUAAUCAUUUCUCAUUAGAUAGGGGCUUCCAACUCUUAAAAACAUUUCUAAUAAAGACCUUAAAAAGUAUAGAAAACUUAGAAAUCAGAGCAAUCACGUUCUUUGUGGUUACUGGGAGGAGAAUUGGCUCACAAAUGAAUAAGGACUAGCCUUAUGGGAGUAACAGUCUAAGUCUGGAGCGUCACCUAUGCUGUUGACCGACCGGUUGGAGCAUGGUGCCGCCAAGACACAAUGCCACCGUUAAACAAGGCUCUGAGUCACGUAGCUUCAUUCCCAUUAACCCUGAUGUUUCCUAACUGUCCACUGGCUCAAAAAUUCUGCUGUUGGUUCCAAGGGUAACAAGGCUGUUGGGAUAACUCAGAGUACAGUUCUCGAAGUAUCACAGUGUGGUGUGAGUCUUUUUAGGAAUUGGGACAUAUAUUCAUCAUUUCUGGACCUGAUUAGCACAGUACCUGCAUGUAAGUAAGACAUCCACUAAACGGAUAUUCUGCUGCGCCAAUAUGUGAAGCAAAAUACAUACCGAAUGGGUCUAAGUGUACUUUGUGCAACUUACUUUCGUGUACAAAGGAAAUUAUUUUGUUCUAUUUUAGGAUUUUACAUGAUCACAUUGUACUUUUGUUAUUUAUUAAUGUAUAUGUUAAUUCUUUUCGUAAUACUUGAUGUCUUUCUCAUGUUCAAAGCUUGAGAAAAUGGGGUUAGAUAUUUCUACAACUGCAGUUUUUGUUGGCAUAUGGAAAAGUAAGAACCAAGGCCCUGCGGAAAGCCAGACUGCGCCACACGUGCCCUGUCCAGCUCUGGAGAACAUGCAUAAUUGCAGAAAACAUGGAUAGUUGGUUCUUGAAAGUAAAAUUAUAGAUUCAAAGUCAUUUAUCCACCUAAUUUUUUUCAGUGUGUAGGGAUCACGUGUUCUCAGUGAAUUUUAAUUAUAAUAUCUAAUUCUGUUUCCUUUCAAAGGUAAUAAUAGAUAAGACAGUGACUGCAAAUUCCUUAGGAGACAUGCAACCCCGCUGUGUCCCCCAGUAAAGCAUAAGAGUUUCAGCGACCUUUCCCCGCCUUAGGCAGGCAGUGCUCCCAGCUACCGGACCUACACAAAUGAGUAAUUUUCUUCUUUCCCUCGUAGUGGAAUGUGGGCUUUGCCAUAUGCUGUGCAAAAUAACAUCAGAAGUUUGCUUCAGGUCCAUGUGAACUGUAUUAACAUGCAGUAACACAUUUCAUCCUAUAAAAUUAUUAAUUUAUUAAAAUGUAUCUCAGAAAACGCA